rnacentral:rRNA from 1 species
CAGUCGCGCGGGAACACGUAGGCCCCGAGCGUUGUCCGGAUUUAUUGGGCGUAAGGCGAGCGCAGGCGGUUAGAUAAGUCUGAAGUUAAAGGCUGUGGCUUAACCAUAGUACGCUUUGGAAACUGUUUAACUUGAGUGCAAGAGGGGAGAGUGGAAUUCCAUGUGUAGCGGUGAAAUGCGUAGAUAUAUGGAGGAACACCGGUGGCGAAGGCGACUCUCUGGUCUGUAACUGACGCUGAGGCGCGAAAGCGUGGGGAGCAAACAGGAUUAGAUACCCCCGUAGUCCCUGUCUCUUAUACAC